CGGGGACUUCUCAUUAUCCCCGGAAGGAAGGCUGCCAAGAGCCUGCAUUCUGUGCCACAGUAAUCAAAGCAAGUAUGUUUCAGUUCAAACAAGGUAUGAGGGUGAGUAAAUAACAUCCGCUGUGCCAAUGAAGCCUUCAUUUUUCGCAACAAUGAAGAGUGCAGACCAUCUCCCAAAUGCCCUCUCAAAAAUCGAAGCAGAGGAGAAGGAUGCCUUCGGUUGACGACCAGGUGAAGGCCCGAAUCUAAAUUUUGCAUUCAUAAGCAAGAGCAAGGAGCUCGGGCUUCCCUCGUUUGACAGGAUCCUUGGCUGUUGCACUGCAAGGAAGCUUUCAGGGCUGGCGCCAAAGUUAGUUGAACAGGGGAUGUUUGAAGAGUGUGAGCACAGGGGAUCAUAUAACAGUUGAGGAGGCAAGACGUUCAGCUAAGAUGAUGUAUCUGGGAAGUGGCUAUCCAGUAGUGUACCUCAUCAUUGGCGAUGGACGGGUCGGGGAAGCAACCCUCGCACUUUCUGAUCUCCUGUGGGAGGAUAUGAUUGCAGGACUGGAUAGGAUUCAAGUUACUUACAGUUAAGGACUCAAAACAUAAAUUUAGAAUGGAGAUCUCCGGUUAUCAUUUUACUGCAUUUGGAGAAAUUCGGCAUUACUUCAAAUCUUGAUUUGUUUGUAUUUGAAUUACUAGAAUUGAGAGAAGUUGCCUUGUUGUAGCUGUGGUUCCUUUUUUAUUUUACUUGCUCAAGGGAGUUGCUAAAUUGGAGAGGAAGAGAAGGGGAGUUGAAAGAUGCAUGUGGAGCAAAAUGAGCUUCAUAAAAUCAUAAAACUAUAAUCUGAUUAUAAAUUGCUUUUCAUGAUUAUUUUUUUUAAAAUUCCUCAAACACAUCUCAUUGUGCACAAGGUUAGUCUAUGAAAUUUAAAACACAAGAUGUCAAGACUUUGAGUUAGCUGGGAAUAGGUAUUAAGCAAAUAAACAUUCUUAUAAACAAAAUAGUAUCGAGCCACAAAAGGUAAUGAUGAAUCCUUGCAGCAUAAUGCAGACCAGUUUGUGCAGGUGGAAUGGUUUUUAUUGAGCUAUCGAUAAGAACAUGCUGCAACAUCAUGUCUAUAUCUAUGAGAAAAUAAUGAAUCUUGUACACAUACAGUGAAAGGGUCCAUUUUGCUCCUGAUCCUCUUCAUACCAGAACCAAGAAUCUGGAAUUUAUACAUACAUGCCAACAGCAGAAGCAGCUAUACUUACAUACCAACACCAGCAGCGGCGGCGGCGGCUACAGAGCGACCGGCAUCACAGUCAUCAAGCUCAGUAGCCAUGAGCCAGGCAGUGAAAGGACCGACUUGCUGCCUUGCUUUGGUGACAUUUCUACCUUUUCUUUCUGUGUUUGAUGAUAGUUCUUAAAUGUUUGUGCGUUAUGAUUGCAUAUUUUCUUAGCCAGUUGCCCAGUUCCUUGUUAAUAAUAUUUUGCGAGGAAGAGCACCCUGUGCCUAGAGUCAGAUGUCUAUUUUUUAUAUUUUAACAGCUUAUGACCUGCUAGUCAUUGUCAUUCUGCUGAUACUACAAAGCACAAAAGGAAACACCUCCCAUAAUGUAAGUAGCAUACCUGAUGGGGUUAAAAAUCAACACUGCAAUUGCAAUAGAUAUAUGAACAUUGUUCACUCAACAAAAAUGACAUGCUCAAGCUGUUGCUGGAUAUGACACCAUCAGGAAAGGCAGGUUUUCUAAUUAAAUAUCACUUACAUAACUGGUUCAUACAUAUUGAGUUCAGCAUAUUGCAUAUUGAGUACUCAGAAUAGAUAAGCAGAUUUAUUUGAAUACAACAUCACUUUAUGUACCCUAAAAUUCAACUCGAAUUUUCCUAAGAGGCAGCAAAGGUGGGAGAUGCUGCUUACACCUACGCAUUUAUAGAAUGUGCAAUAAGGUGAUGGCGUGGUCUGCACCUCAUGCUCUUGAGACCCAACAACGGCCUAACUUAACAAGAUUAUUCAUCUAUAAAUCAGCAGUAGUGUGUUCUAGCAUUAUUGGAAUCACCAACAACCUGUUUGCCAUUAGAUUCAACGUUCGUUCUUCUUUAGUCGCCAAAUAGAGCUGACAGAAGCAGGUCCUGAACAAAUGUUGCUCUAACAAUCGCCUGUUUCUGCUUCUGUUCCCUCUCCUCAUGAGUCAAUGAUGAGUCAAGACUGCCAAGAAGAAUAAAAAAAA